CCUCUGGGUCCAACCUCCCACCCGUGUUUAUCGUACCUUGUUGCUUCGGCGGGCCCGCCGCAAGGCCGCCGGGGGGCAUCUGCCCUCUGGCCCGCGCCCGCCGAAGACACCAUUGAACGCUGUCUGAAGAUUGCAGUCUGAGCAAUUAGUUAAAUAACUUAAAACUUUCAACAACGGAUCUCUUGGUUCCGGCAUCGAUGAAGAACGCAGCGAAAUGCGAUACGUAAUGUGAAUUGCAGAAUUCAGUGAAUCAUCGAGUCUUUGAACGCACAUUGCGCCCCCUGGUAUUCCGGGGGGCAUGCCUGUCCGAGCGUCAUUGCUGCCCUCAAGCACGGCUUGUGUGUUGGGCUCCGUCCUCCUUCCGGGGGGACGGGCCCGAAAGGCAGCGGCGGCACCGCGUCCGGUCCUCGAGCGUAUGGGGCUUCGUCACCCGCUCUGCAGGCCCGGCCGGCGCUUGCCGACACAUCAAUCUUUUUUCCAGGUUGACCUCGGAUCAGGUAGGGAUACCCGCUGAACUUAAGCAUAUCAAUAGGCGGAGGAAG
rnacentral:rRNA from 1 species